UACGUAGGGUGCGAGCGUUGUCCGGAUUUACUGGGCGUAAAGAGCGCGUAGGCGGUCCAUUAAGUGUGAAGCUAAAUCUCUUGGCUUAACCAAGAACUAUUUCGCAUACUGAUGGGCUGGAGUGAUGCAGAGGUGGAUAGAAUUCCCGGUGUAGCGGUGAAAUGCGUUGAUAUCGGGAGGAAUACCCGUGGCGAAGGCGGUCCACUGGGCAUCAACUGACGCUGAGGCGCGAAAGCGUGGGUAGCAAACAGG
rnacentral:rRNA from 1 species